UACAGAGGUCCCAAGCGUUGUUCGGAUUCAUUGGGCGUAAAGGGUGCGUAGGCGGCGCGGUAAGUCGGGUGUGAAAUCUCGGAGCUUAACUCCGAAACUGCAUUCGAUACUGCCGUGCUUGAGGACUGGAGAGGAGACUGGAAUUUACGGUGUAGCGGUGAAAUGCGUAGAUAUCGUAAGGAAGACCAGUGGCGAAGGCGGGUCUCUGGACAGUUCCUGACGCUGAGGCACGAAGGCCAGGGGGAGCAAAACGGG
rnacentral:rRNA from 1 species